GGAGAGAUGGCUCAGCGGUUAAGAGCACUGACUAUUCUUCCAGAGGUCCUGAGUUCAAUUCCCAGCAACCACA
rnacentral:tRNA from 1 species